GAGGGUGUAGCUCAGUGGUAGAGCGCAUGCUUAGCAUGCAUGAGGUCCUGGGUUCGAUUCCCAGUACCUCCA
rnacentral:tRNA from 1 species